rnacentral:rRNA from 1 species
UAUGUGAUCGUCUCUCGCAUAUCAAUAAGCGGAGGAAAAGAAACUAACAAGGAUUCCCCUAGUAACGGCGAGUGAAGCGGGAAGAGCUCAAAUUUGAAAUCUUAAAGGGUUUCCCUUUACGAAUUGUAGUUUAAAGAAGUGCUUUUCUGUUGAGGUUUUGGUAAAAGUUCUUUGGAAUAGGACAUCAUAGAGGGUGAGAAUCCCGUAUUUGACCUUUACUUUCAACUUUGUGAUACACUUUCAAAGAGUCGGAUUGUUUGGGAAUGCAGUCCAAAAUGGGUGGUAAAUUUCAUCUAAAGCUAAAUAUUGGCGAGAGACCGAUAGCGAACAAGUACCGUGAGGGAAAGAUGAAAAGAACUUUGAAAAGAGAGUUAAACAGUACGUGAAAUUGUCAAAAGGGAAGCGUUUGACACCAGUGUUGUUUUUCUGAAAAUCAAUUAAAGAACUGUUUAUGCUAAGUUGUUUAGACUUUAUCAGCUAACUGUUUAGUUUUGAGCUUUUCUUUAAUGCACUUUUCAGUUAACAAGUCAACAUCAAUUUCUUUUGCUGUAAAAAAGCUUGAGGAAGGUGGCUUGAGAUUCGUCUUAAGUGUUUAUAGCCUCUUGCCUAUGCAGUCGGAGAGAUUGAGGUCUGCAGCGUAGAUCCUUCGGGGCUAAAUGCAUUUGUGCUAAGCUUAUAGCAUUUUAUAGACAACUUGUUGACUAUGAUUUGUCUUGUAGCUUACUCGCUUAUGUUAUUUUACCUACGCUUAGGAUGUUGAAGUCAUCGUAUCGCGC